rnacentral:lncRNA from 1 species
GAAACACCUCAAAAGCUUUUCACAGCAAGAAUUUGGAAACCACUGCUCUGUGUCAACUGCUGGUGCAUAAUCGGGCUGCACAUGGAGGGGCUGGGGCAGAAUUGAGGUGCACGUGCCGGAUGGAGCCCAGGGAGGAUGGGAUGGAGGUGCUGGAGGGAUUUGGGGCAUAUGCAUAAAUGUUCUGGCAAUAAACAGAAAGAACAGAAGGUCUGUAAGCUUGGAUGCAAUAAAGCAGGAGUGUGAGUCCAAAAGAUACAUUAGAAGUAUUUCCUUAUUUUAUUGUUGGAAUACUACUAAAGAGGAGUACACUCAGCAUUGACCUGCUCUGCCACAUUGGCCAAGGAACUCCCGGAGGGAACAGAUGGAGGCUCCUGCCUGGUGGCUGAGCUGUGAGCACUGCUGUGGUAGAAGCAGCUGCCAGACCAUAAGCACCAUGAGCAGGACAGUGCUGGUACUUCUGGAGCAGCAGCAAGCGAACGUUUCAGCGCAGACCUUGGGUUCUCACUUCACUCUGUAAACUGGAGAAGAGUUCAAGCAGAGCUCAAGGAAGAUGGAAGUAAAAUUCUGUUACAUAGAAGAGUGGAUUUUGUCCUCAGACCUGGCCCUGUCACCUAGAGGGAGAAUUCUUCACUCAUCUAAUCACUUUGCAAGUACCAGCUUGGAUUUGCUUUAGCAGUCUUUUCCAUGAGCAAAAUUUCUACUCUUAAUCUUUUCCUUAAUAUUAAAAGAAAAAAAAUCCAUUAGUAAAAUUAAUAAUGAAGGAGCAAUGUGCUUGAAGCAAAUGUGUCAAGAAAUUACUUUUAUUUUUUCUGAAUAAUAAAAAUAAAAGGUAAAUUCAUUUACCUCAUUUUAUUUUUUGCUGUCACAUCACUCUGGAAAAUUCUUGCCUUAUGCUGUCCUACUCAAUGUUUAUUUUUUUCUGUCUCUGAGGGGAUAGCUCAUCAUAUAAGAGGAGAACACAUUGGAAAAAUACAGUUGUUCCCUAUGUUCUCCAAAAAGUCUUGUUAUGCAAGGUCCUCUUCUAAAAUACAUCUGUCACACUCUAUGAAACAUUUAUGUGGCCUCUGUUUUCAUAUCUCACCAUCCUAAUUCUUCCCAAGACAUAGCUGUGAUACAAGAAGGUACUACUGUCUCUGUUAUAGUGAGGGGAAAUUAAAGUACAAAGUGCCUACGUGAACUGGCAAAAUCACAAAAGAGGCCUAUGAGGGAGCAGGAAAUUGAAAAUCAGCCUUAUAGCUUAGCCAGCAUGUCAGCCUUCUCUUUGGAAAGAAUAAAUGGUCUUGGAAUUGCUGAAUGGUUAUUGGAAUCAAUAUACAAGAAAUAA